UCUACUUGGCUGCAUAAAUGCCCAGAAGA
rnacentral:piRNA from 1 species